rnacentral:rRNA from 1 species
UACGAAGGGGGCUAGCGUUGCUCGGAAUGACUGGGCGUAAAGGGCGCGUAGGCGGUUUGUACAGUCAGAUGUGAAAUUCCUGGGCUUAACCUGGGGGGCUGCAUUUGAUACGUGCAGACUUGAGUGAGGAAGAGGGUUGUGGAAUUCCCAGUGUAGAGGUGAAAUUCGUAGAUAUUGGGAAGAACACCGGUGGCGAAGGCGGCAACCUGGUCCUUGACUGACGCUGAGGCGCGAAAGCGUGGGGAGCAAACAGG